CUCUCAGAGUCAAACUUUGUACUGUGCUCGCCCACAAUUCCUGCAGUCGUGGGCUGGUUGUUGUGCUUCAAGUUGGGAGACACACAGCUCUGCAGGGCUGUGACAUUAUCUGUUGCAGGUGAACGUUCAGCACGUUUCCUUUUUCCGCACAGGACAUGGCAACCAGCUCUUCCUCCCAAAGGAUUGGAGUUGUAGGAUACGGACAUCUAGGGCAGUACCUGGUGGAGAGGAUCCUUAAAGAUGGAGCUGCUCUCGGUUUAACUCUGGCUUUCGUUUGGAACAGAAAUUCUGACAAGCUCAAAGGUGUAGUCCCUGAUGAACUCAUACUUGGUGACCUAUCAUCCUUUUCAGAAAGGCGGUGUGAUGUGAUUGUAGAAGUGUGCCAUCCAAAGAUUGUAAAAGAAUUUGGGUGUCACUUCCUGUCUCAGUGUCAUUUCAUGGUGGGCUCACCCUCGGCCCUCUCUGAUCCUGAGCUGAACCAGAAGCUGCGUCAGGCAGCUCGGCAGUAUGGAAGGACACUCUACGUCCCCAGUGGUGCAUUAUGGGGAGGCCAGGACAUUCAAAGGCUGAAUGACAGUGGGAACUUGAAGGCUUUGUUUAUAAGAAUGUCCAAGCACCCGUCCUGCUUCCGGCUGACAGGAGACGUCCUCUCUGACUGGACAGAGGAAGAGGGCAGGCGUGUUUUAUUCAGAGGCUCAGUGGCAGAGCUGUGCCCACUUGCUCCGAACAAUGUGAACACCAUGGCAGCGGCAGCAGUGGCAGCAGGAACACUUGGCUUUACUGGUGUUCAGGGAGAGAUUGUUUCCGACACAGCGUUAAGUGACUAUCACGUGGUGGAGGUUGAGGUGACUGGGCCUGGUGGCUUCUCGGUCAACACAGUGAGGCGUAAUCCAGCCAAACUUGGAGCUGUAACUGGCAGUGCAACAUAUAACUCCUUCUGGAAUAGUUUACUAGCCGGAGAACCUGGAGAAAACCCACACUGACACAGGGAGAACGUGCAAGCUCUUCACAGAAGGGUUCCCCCACCCCAGGUUCGAACCAGGAGCCCUCUUGCUGUGCAUCUAAAGAGUUUGGAGUUUGCAAAGGUCAUGGAGGACGAGUUUACUUGUGCUGAAGCGGAUGAGAACUCUGCUGAAUUAACAACAACACAGCAAGGAGAUCCAUAUAGAUCAGAUGGUUUAUGGUGGAUAAGUUGUGUGGAUGGUGUCACUGGAUCGGUGUGUUACUGUAAACUUUUUGUGAACUUAUGAUAUUUGUGUUCCAAUAAACUGCAUGCAUACAGAAGAAAGAA